CCUGAAAUUGGGCAAGGUCUAGUACACAUUGGUUAGGUCUAGCAAAGUGAUAUGCAUAUGUGACGCCAUAUUGAGAUUGGCCUUGUAUGUCAUUCAAUCUUUUUGAAAUGACAAACAGUGAUGAAUAUGUGUUAGAGUUGGUAUUUCAAUCUUUUACAAGUUCUCAAAACACACACAAGAGGGGGUUGGGUGACCCUAGGGACUACCCCUAUAUUUCAUUUAAUUUUUUAUCUUGUCCCAUACAUGAAUAUAUAUGGUUUGGGGUGGGGAUCUCAACCGUUAUCAAGUUUUCAAACAGGAAUGAGUGGGGUGAUCCUAGUGACUUCCCCUAUAUUUCAUUUGAUUUGUUAUAUUGUCCAAUGCAUGAAUAUAUAUGGUUGAGGGGUGAGGAUCUUAUCUGUUUCUAAGUUAUCAAACAGGAGAGGUUAGGGUUACCCUAAGGACUCUCCCUAUAUUUCAUUUUGAUUAGUUCUCA
rnacentral:lncRNA from 1 species